UACGUAGGGGGCAAGCGUUGUCCGGAUUUAUUGGGCGUAAAGAGCGUGUAGGCGGCUUGGUAGGUCCGCUGUGAAAACUCGAGGCUCAACCUCGAGAUGUCGGCGGAAACCACUUGGCUAGAGUCCGGAAGAGGAGAGUGGAAUUCCCGGUGUAGCGGUGAAAUGCGCAGAUAUCGGGAAGAACACCUAUGGCGAAGGCAGCUCGCUGGGACGGUACUGACGCUAAGGCGCGAAAGCGUGGGGAGCGAACAGG
rnacentral:rRNA from 1 species